GACUUUCAUGUUCCUCUGAUCUAGAGGGUUUUCAUUGUGUGUUCUAGAACCCCCCCUGAGAUCUGUUUUCAUAAUACUAAGAUGUGUUAAUUUCUAAUACAAUAAAUAUCUAUCCAGCAUUGUUUUGGGAAAUGUUUAACAAGUGGCUCUUUAAAAGUAAUACUCAUUACACACUUUUAAGUUUAACAUUUUCUCUGUCACUUUCUCAAAUCUAGACAAUCAACAAAAUAAAUGGAAUUCCAAUUCAUAGCAUUUACUAAUUUUCAAGGAGUACUGAAAAUGUAAUAAUUGUUUCUUACAAGUCAGUAUGAUUUGGUUCCAGCAAAUACCUUAUUAAAAUUCGCAUGAGAAAACCUAUUGAACUAAAAGAGGGUUCUCAGCAAAUUUUAAGAAUAUAAAAGGGACUUUGGACCAAAAAGUUCAAGAACCACUUUCUUAUACAAUCCCUUCAUUUUAUAGAUAAGAAAAUUGAAGAUCAGCAUAGAAUUAACUUUUUCCAUCUAAUUAGUAGAAAGGCCUAGGCCUUGCAAUUCUUAAUUAUGUGCCUUUUCGGCUGCAUCCUGUUUCCUCUGUCUCCUGGCAUCGCAAGGGUCUAAGAAGAGAUGUUAGAAGACAUUUUCCUUCACCUGUGAAAAUAUUCUCAUUCAGUGAGAUACAGGCAUCAUCAAAGGUCUUGAAGACAGCCAUUCAGGAAUUGUUGUAUGCAGAUGAAGUUGUUCCAUGUGGAAAAGGUCUUUUGGCUGAAUUAGUCCUGACCAGAUCCAUUCCUCCACAGAAAGACCUAAGCACUUUUAUUUCUGCUGAGCACUGGCUGCCUGCCUUGAGCAGCAAUGAGAGGCACACAGCCAACCUCUCUACUCUCCCCAUCUUGAACCUGAUGACGGUGCAAAGCAAGAAGAACAGGAGAAUCACAGAGACAGAACAAAGCAGAAAUACCACCUCUGAGGAGGCCAAAUUAAAGAGGUUAUAUUCGUAUCUUAAUGUAUAUUGUAAAGGGAAUGAAUGAAUGAAUAAAUGAAUGGUUACUUUGGCCA
rnacentral:lncRNA from 1 species